rnacentral:rRNA from 1 species
GAUGAACGCUGGCGGCGUGCCUAAUACAUGCAAGUCGAGCGAACAGACGAGGAGCUUGCUCCUCUGACGUUAGCGGCGGACGGGUGAGUAACACGUGGAUAACCUACCUAUAAGACUGGGAUAACUUCGGGAAACCGGAGCUAAUACCGGAUAAUAUAUUGAACCGCAUGGUUCAAUAGUGAAAGACGGUUUUGCUGUCACUUAUAGAUGGAUCCGCGCCGCAUUAGCUAGUUGGUAAGGUAACGGCUUACCAAGGCAACGAUGCGUAGCCGACCUGAGAGGGUGAUCGGCCACACUGGAACUGAGACACGGUCCAGACUCCUGCGGGAGGGAGCAGUAGGGAAUCUUCCGCAAUGGGCGAAAGCCUGACGGAGCAACGCCGAGUGAGUGAUGAAGGUCUUCGGAUCGUAAAACUCUGUUAUUAGGGAAGAACAAAUGUGUAAGUAACUAUGCACGUCUUGACGGUACCUAAUCAGAAAGCCACGGCUAACUACGUG